UCCUUAUUCUCCAAAUACACUCCUGCAAUUGAUAUGUGGAGUAUAGGAUGCAUAUUUGCUGAGAUAAUUACAGGAAAACCACUUUUUCCUGGAAAAAAUGUGGUGCACCAAUUGGAUCUCAUGACCGAUAUGCAUGGCACUCCCUCUCCUGAAUCUAUAUCAAGGGUUAG